GAUGAACGCUGGCGGCGUGCCUAACACAUGCAAGUCGAGCGAUCUUCUUCGGAAGAGAGCGGCGGACGGGUGAGUAACGCGUGGGUAACCUGCCCUGUACACACGGAUAACAUACCGAAAGGUAUGCUAAUACGAGAUAAUAUGCUUUUAUCGCAUGGUAGAAGUAUCAAAGCUCCGGCGGUACAGGAUGGACCCGCGUCUGAUUAGCUAGCUGGUAAGGUAACGGCUUACCAAGGCGACGAUCAGUAGCCGACCUGAGAGGGUGAUCGGCCACAUUGGAACUGAGACACGGUCCAAACUCCUACGGGAGGCAGCAGUGGGGAAUAUUGCACAAUGGGCGAAAGCCUGAUGCAGCAACGCCGCGUGAGCGAUGAAGGCCUCGGUCGUAAGAC
rnacentral:rRNA from 1 species